GCAGCCACAUGAACUUCGGUUCGCGUGGUGGGCGAGUGGCGAACGGGUGCGUAACACGUAGGAAAUCUACCCUUAGAUGAGGAAUAACCAUUGGAAACGAUGGCUAAUACCACAUAUUGUUCUGGUAUCGCAUGAUACUUGGAUGAAAGCCUUCGGGCGUCAAAGGAUGAUCCUGCGGCGGAUUAGCUAGUUGGUGUGAUAACAGCUCACCAAGGCGACGAUCCGUAGCUGGUCUGAGAGGAUGAUCAGCCACACUGGCACUGAGACACGGGCCAGACUCCUACGGGAGGCAGCAGUGAGGAAUAUUGGACAAUGGGCGAAAGCCUGAUCCAGCCACGCCGCGUGGAGGACGACACCCCUAUGGGGCGUAAACUCCUUUUUUACAGGAAGAACAACCCGGUUGCCGGGUCUGACGGUACUGUAAGAAUAAGCACCGGCUAACUCCGUGCCAGCAGCCGCGGUAAUACGGAGGGUGCAAGCGUUGUCCGGAAUUAUUGGGUGUAAAGGGUGCGCAGGUGGAAUAAUUAGUCGGGGGUGAAAGCCUACAGCUUAACUGUAGAAUUGCCUUCGAUACUGUUAUUCUUGAGUCCCGGAGAGGUCAUCGGAAUUCGUGGUGUAGCGGUGAAAUGCGUAGAUAUCACGAGGAACACCUGAAGCGUAGGCGGAUGACUG
rnacentral:rRNA from 1 species